GAUGAACGCUGGCGGCGUGCUUAACACAUGCAAGUCGAACGGAAAGGCCCAAGCUUGCUUGGGUACUCGAGUGGCGAACGGGUGAGUAACACGUGGGUGAUCUGCCCUGCACUUCGGGAUAAGCCUGGGAAACUGGGUCUAAUACCGGAUAGGACCACAUUUUGGAUGGUGUGGUGGAAAGUUUUUCGGUGUGGGAUGAGCUCGCGGCCUAUCAGCUUGUUGGUGGGGUAAUGGCCUACCAAGGCGUCGACGGGUAGCCGGCCUGAGAGGGUGUACGGCCACAUUGGGACUGAGAUACGGCCCAGACUCCUACGGGAGGCAGCAGUGGGGAAUAUUGCACAAUAGGCGCAAGCCUGAUGCAGCGACGCCGCGUGGGGGAUGACGGCCUUCGGGUUGUAAACUCCUUUCGCUAGGGACGAAGCGUUUUUGUGACGGUACCUGGAGAAGAAGCACCGGCUAACUACGUG
rnacentral:rRNA from 1 species